CGGAGAGCAUGUUCUCUCAAGGCCCUGAGUUGCUGCCCAACCUGCAGCGGAAAUACGGCAUGAUAGAUCAUGUAGAAGACGAAGUCCAGAAAAUUUGAAUUUGAACUCUAUCUCUGACACUUACAAGUUGUAUGACUCUUAAAUCAAGUGCGUCUCUUUCUCUCUGAAGAGACCAUCUAGCGAGUCUCCAUCAGUCAACACCGC